rnacentral:rRNA from 1 species
GACGAACGCUGGCGGCGUGCCUAAUACAUGCAAGUAGAACGCUAAAGAGAGGAGCUUGCUCUUCUUGGAUGAGUUGCGAACGGGUGAGUAACGCGUAGGUAACCUGCCUUGUAGCGGGGGAUAACUAUUGGAAACGAUAGCUAAUACCGCAUAACAAUGGAUGACACAUGUCAUUUAUUUGAAAGGGGCAAUUGCUCCACUACAAGAUGGACCUGCGUUGUAUUAGCUAGUAGGUGAGGUAAUGGCUCACCUAGGCGACGAUACGUAGCCGACCUGAGAGGGUGAUCGGCCACACUGGGACUGAGACACGGCCCAGACUCCUACGGGAGGCAGCAGUAGGGAAUCUUCGGCAAUGGGGGCAACCCUGACCGAGCAACGCCGCGUGAGUGAAGAAGGUUUUCGGAUCGUAAAGCUCUGUUGUAAGUCAAGAACGGGUGUGAGAGUGGAAAGUUCACACUGUGACGGUAGCUUACCAGAAAGGGACGGCUAACUACGUG